rnacentral:rRNA from 1 species
GACGAACGCUGGCGGCGUGCUUAACACAUGCAAGUCGAGCGGUAAGGCCUCGGGUACGACGAGCGGCGAACGGGUGGGUAACGACGUGGGUGGACCUGCCCUCCAGCUCUGGGAGUAAGACCCGGGAAACCGUAGGGUCGUAAUACCGGAUAUGACCUUCUGUCGCAUGACGGUUGGUGGAAAGUUACUUCGGCUGGGGAGUGGGCCCGCGGCCUAUCAGCUUGUUGGUGGGGU